CACGGGGGGAGCAAGCGUUGUUCGGAAUCACUGGGCGUAAAGGGCGUGUAGGCGGUCAGGUAAGUGGGAUGUGAAAGCCCUCGGCUCACCCGAGGAUCUGCAUCUCAAACUGCCUGGCUUGAGUAUGGGAGAGGAUGAGGGAAUUCCUGGUGUAGCGGUGAAAUGCGUAGAUAUUGGGAGGAACACCAGUGGCGAAGGCGGCUCACUGGACCGGUACUGACGCUGAGAAGCGAAAGCAUGGGGAGCGAACAGG
rnacentral:rRNA from 1 species